rnacentral:rRNA from 1 species
ACGGCAGAGUAACGCGUAGGAACAUACCCCAAACUGAGGGAUAACUGCUCGAAAGAGUAGCUAAUACCGCAUGUGGUCUUCGGAUUAAAAGCUUCGGCGGUUUGGGGAAUGGCCUGCGUCCGAUUAGCUUGUUGGUGAGGUAAAAGCUCACCAAGGGCGACGAUCGGUAGCUGGUCUGAGAGGAUGAUCAGCCUGACUGGAACUGAGAACGGUCCAGACUCCUACGGGAGGCAGCAGUAGGGAAUUUUCCACAAUGGGCGAAAGCCUGAUGGAGCAACGCCGCGUGCAGGAUGAAUGCCUUCGGGUUGUAAACUGCUUUUAUUAGUGAAGAAUAUGACGGUAACUAAUGAAUAAGGGUCGGCUAACUACGUG